rnacentral:rRNA from 1 species
UACGUAGGGACCCAAGCGUUGUUCGGAUUUACUGGGCGUAAAGGGCGCGUAGGCGGCGUGGUAAGUCACUUGUGAAAUCUCCGGGCUUAACUCGGAAUGGUCAAGUGAUACUGCUGUGCUAGAGUGCAGAAGGGGCAAUCGGAAUUCUUGGUGUAGCGGUGAAAUGCGUAGAUAUCAAGAGGAACACCUGAGGUGAAGACGGGUUGCUGGGCUGACACUGACGCUGAGGCGCGAAAGCCAGGGGAGCAAACGGGAUUAGAACGU